CUACGAUGGGCGCAGCGCCCUGCUCGUGGCAGAAGCCGCUGGAAACGUGGAGGUGGUGACUCUCCUACAGAGCCUCCAGGGUGGGGCUGGGGCCCUGGCCCCGGGGCCGGAAGUGCUGCCUGGUGUCUGACCGAACCCGUCUGCUGCGGCAUCAGCCUCCCUCCUGUGACCUGCAAGGAGGGUCGGGGCACCCCUCCCUGUGGCUCUGACUGGUGCCCCCGCUGCCGGGACUCUGUCCAUCCUGUUCCCGAGACCGGCCUCGUGUCUGUGCUGGGCGGCGUGACAAUAAAGUCUCAGGGACACUCCCUCUCAGGUC